rnacentral:rRNA from 1 species
UACGUAGGGUGCGAGCGUUGUCCGGAAUUAUUGGGCGUAAAGAGCUCGUAGGCGGUGUGUCACGUCGGCCGUGAAAACCUGCAGCUUAACUGUGGGCGUGCGGUCGAUACGGGCAUCACUGGAGUUCGGCAGGGGAGACUGGAAUUCCUGGUGUAGCGGUGAAAUGCGCAGAUAUCAGGAGGAACACCGGUGGCGAAGGCGGGUCUCUGGGCCGAUACUGACGCUGAGGAGCGAAGGCGUGGGGAGCGAACGGG